rnacentral:rRNA from 6 species
UGAAUGACUCUCGGCAACGGAUAUCUCGGCUCUCGCAUCGAUGAAGAACGUAGCGAAAUGCGAUACUUGGUGUGAAUUGCAGAAUCCCGUGAACCAUCGAGUCUUUGAACGCAAGUUGCGCCCCAAGCCUUUAGGCCGAGGGCACGCCUGCCUGGGUGUCACAC